GACGAACGCUGGCGGCGUGCUUAACACAUGCAAGUCGAACGGACAGACAGAGAGCUUGCUCUCUUGAAGUUAGUGGCGAACGGGUGAGUAACGCGUAAUCAACCUGCCCUUCAGAGGGGGAUAACAACGGGAAACCGUUGCUAAUACCGCGUACGAUUCAUGAACGGCAUCGUUUAUGAAUGAAAGGUGGCCUCUAUGUAUAAGCUAUCGCUGAAGGAGGGGAUUGCGUCUGAUUAGCUAGUUGGAGGGGUAACGGCCCACUAAGGCAAUGAUCAGUAGCCGGUCUGAGAGGAUGAACGGCCACAUUGGGACUGAGACACGGCCCAAACUCCUACGGGAGGCAGCAGUGGGGAAUCUUCCGCAAUGGACGAAAGUCUGACGGAGCAACGCCGCGUGAGUGAUGAAGGUCUUCGGAUUGUAAAGCUCUGUUAAUCGGGACGAAAGAGUUCUGCGUGAAUAGUGCAGAAAAGUGACGGUACCGGAAUAGAAAGCCACGGCUAACUACGUGCCAGCCGCCGCGGUAA
rnacentral:rRNA from 1 species